CACGUAGGGCGCGAGCGUUGUCCGGAAUUAUUGGGCGUAAAGAGCUCGUAGGCGGCCUGUUGCGUCCGCUGUGAAAGCCCGGGGCUUAACCCCGGGUCGGCAGUGGAUCCGGGCAGGCUAGAGGUAGGUAGGGGAGAAUGGAAUUCCCGGUGUAGCGGUGAAAUGCGCAGAUAUCGGGAGGAACACCGGUGGCGAAGGCGGUUCUCUGGGCCUUACCUGACGCUGAGGAGCGAAAGCGUGGGGAGCGAACAGG
rnacentral:rRNA from 1 species